ACACCGCGGCACACGGACGCAAUCCUGCAUCAAGUGCGUUGCUUCGUUCGUUCUACAAUCAGCAAUGCAUUGCACGCAGGGUAGCGUUAGUGUGUUAGGAAGCAUCACAGUC
rnacentral:pre_miRNA from 1 species